UACGUAGGGUGCAAGCGUUGUCCGGAAUUAUUGGGCGUAAAGAGCUCGUAGGCGGUCUGUUACGUCGGCUGUGAAAACCUGGGGCUCAACCCCGGGCCUGCAGCCGAUACGAGCAGACUAGAGUUCGGUAGGGGAGACUGGAAUUCCUGGUGUAGCGGUGAAAUGCGCAGAUAUCAGGAGGAACACCGGUGGCGAAGGCGGGUCUCUGGGCCGAUAUUGACGCUGAGGAGCGAAAGCGUGGGGAGCGAACAGG
rnacentral:rRNA from 1 species